UACAUUUAUUUAUUAUAAAUCAAAGUUUUAAUACAUAAAAUGUACAACUUUACAAAUUUAAGAAAUAGUAAUGGAAAAAUAGUGUUUAAAAUAUGAUUUUAUGUUUUUAAUGAGAUUAAAGAAAGAGAAACUUGAGUAGUCAAGUAUUGGACCCAAAUUUCAUAUAAUUUUAAUUGGGGAUUUUUAUAAAAUUAAGAAAGUUUGGCUAAAGGGCUUAUUUGAAAAGAAUUUUAGUAUUUUGGGUCCAAGUGUAAUUUUUAAAAAUAAAUAAAUAAAUAAAUAAAAUAAAAUAAAAGGCUUCAGCCUUUCAUUUUACCCGAGCCCCUCUCUCUCUCUCCUCAGAAACUCUCUCUCUCUCCUCAGAAACUCUCUCUCUCUCUCUCUCUCUCUCUCUCUCUCUCCUCUGCGUAUUACUGUUGCCGACGACGCAGGAGUACUUUCCGGCCACCAUUUUUAGCCACGCGCCGGACCGUUGGAUUCAGAGGCCUCCGAACUAUUGACCCACGUGGGAAUCUAGAGCUCACUCGCCGAUUAAACGCCUCAACCACUCGAUUUAAGUUCGGCCACCCCGCGACUUCAAAGUUGCGAUUCGGCCACCUCGGGCAUCCGUUUGCCGAUCCGUCACCACCAUCGUGCUCCUCGUGUUGUGGGCUUCAAAACCCAAUAACUUGUUCCUACAUCUACCAUAGUUGGGUGGUGGGCCCACCACGAGCCACCGCGAUCCACCGUAGACCGACGGUCGAAACUUAGUGUUCGAGGUUCCGAAGUACGUUUUGAGUCUCAGAAAAUCAUCGUUUGACUUAUUGUGGAACCCGAUCAUUUUGGAUUUGUAUGGAUUUGAUUGAUUGACUCUUGGUGAGGAAUUUUAAAAUAAGCUAAGGACCUAAGGUAAGUAAAUCUCACCUUUUGUGCUUAAGUGUAAGAUGCAUGACUACAUUGAUUGUGUACAUCUGAUGAGUUAAGUAUGGUAUGAUGAUGAUGCAUAUGAUAAGUAUGUGAAGAAUGGUUAUAUGAACACCAUAAGGGUGUUGUGUGAUAUGUAAUUGAUGAAUUCAGUGAUAUGUGAAAGAUGUCUUACUUGGUUAAGAAUGAUAUGAAUUAUGUGCAAGUAUGUGUUCUUAUGUUGAUGGAUAUGUGGAUUACUCUAUGUUCAUGAUUUGUUAUAUGUUAUGAUAUAUGAAGCGUUUAAGUUUUUAGGCUGGAAACCUUAGACCUGAGCCAUAGCUCUACGUUAAGGUAUAACAACGCCACUAACCCAAAGCUUCAUGUAUUAUGACUAAAGAUGUUUUGAGUUAUAUGAGAUGUGAUACAAUGCCUUGAUUGAAUACCAUCAACAUCAGUCAUGAACACGAACAUUGGCAUUUCAGCAUCAGCAUGUAUGCAUGGCAUGUACAGUUAUGUGAUACAUUAUUAUGUGAUAUAAGACCAUGCAUAUGAAUAUGAGAAAAGUUAUGAAAUGUCUUGAAAAGUCUUAUGUAAAGUUAAACAUUUUAAUGACACAAGGCUUAAGCAAAGUGAUAAUAAGAUGUUUAAAAAGGGUGCCACUGUUUUGAUGAAGCAAUCAAGUAAGUUCAGUAAAGAAGACGGAAGUCUAUAAGACUUAUAGUGGCUGCCCACUAGUGUGGGCUAGGUCAGAGUUGACCAUUCAGAUAUGUUUGCCAUGUUUCUGUCUUUCUCCUCCAUAUGUGUAAUAAGUAUGGCAGCUAUGGCAACGAUGAAAUGAGUGUUAUGAUGAGCCUAGCUGAGAUGAUGGCUAGCCGGAGGAGAACCCAUGGGAUUCUGUAUGAUAUGUGUAACAAGCCCUGCAGGCAUUGGCUGAAUCAAACAGUGUGCACAAGUGAUAUUGGGCCCAUAAAAAUGUGAAACUAAAAGAAAGAGCGUAAAAGUAAAGUUUGAAAGUGCAUGAGCAAUAAAUGAAAUGCAUAAGUAUAUAAGUCAGCAUAUUAGUAUAUGUGCACUACAAACUCACGACAUUCAUGUGUAUGUGUAUGCAUGAGAUUUGCUUACUGAGCGUUAGCUCAUUAUGUUAUUUUCCAACAUUUUUCCAGGUGUGGCUUUAGCUGUUGAGCAACUUGUGGAGCACGGACUCAGUAGCAAUGCAAUAAUGGUUUAGAGUUUUCAUAUGGCUGCCUUAAAUUUAAAAGUAUUCAUACGUGUAAUAAUUUCUUCUAAUAAGUUUAUAUAAAAGUUUUAAAUUUUUCUGUA